UAACCACUCAAGCUCUCGCUUGGUAUUGGGGUUCGCGGUCUCGCGGCCCCUAAAAUCAGUGGCGGUGCCUGUCGGCUCUACGCGUAGUAAUACUCCUCGCGAUUGAGUCCGGUAGGUGACUUGCCAGCAACCCCUAAAUUUUUCA
rnacentral:misc_RNA from 1 species